UCAGGACGAACGCUGGCGGCGUGCUUAACACAUGCAAGUCGAACGGUCGAUAGAGAUAAGCUUGCUUAGCUCUAAAGAUAGUGGCGGACGGGUGAGUAACACGUGGAUAACCUGCCCUUUAGAUUGGGAUAACUUCGGGAAACUGGAGCUAAUACCGGAUAUAUUCCUAGGUUCGCAUGGACCAAGGAAGAAAGGCGAAAAGCCGCUAAAGGAUGGGUCCGCGUCCCAUUAGCUAGUUGGUGGGGUAACAGCCUACCAAGGCGACGAUGGGUAGCCGGCCUGAGAGGGUGGCCGGCCACACUGGGACUGAGACACGGCCCAGACUCCUACGGGAGGCAGCAGUGGGGAAUCUUCCGCAAUGGGCGAAAGCCUGACGGAGCAACGCCGCGUGAGUGAUGAAGGCCCUUGGGUCGUAAAACUCUGUCUUCAGGGAAGAAAACAAUGACGGUACCUGAGGAGGAAGCCCCGGCUAACUACGUGCCAGCCGCCGC
rnacentral:rRNA from 1 species